UCGUACCUUUCGGAAUGUUUUGACAAUCUCUGAUUACAUUCAUGUAAUAAUGUCUAUAUAAAUUCAACAUAUUUUCAAAAUUUUAACAUUCCAAUGUAUUUAAGUUUGAGAAGAAGAAAUAACUCAACACAAAUCUACUGAUUGUGUGAAUGAAGUGUGACGUUAACGAAGGGAGUAGGUCAUUAAACAGUUGUUGCUGUUUUUCCGGUUUAUAUUGUCAAAAGGACUAAGACAACUGAAAGGAAUUUUAGAAAUGCUGAAAAACGCGAUGCACAGGGCUUUAUAGAUUUUAAGAUAAUAAGCAAACACAUGGAAAUUAGCAUGGAAAGUCGUCAUUCAAGGUUUUUGCCAUGACGUUGUCCGUUUGUUUUCGACUUUUGAGUUUAAUGUCCUAUUGGUAUCUGUAACCUCUCUCUUGGAAUUUUGACACAGAAUUACAACGGAAGUUUUCAACGUUUCAACAAGAUUUAACCCCGCGCGGUAACGAGGAUAGACGAAGCAUGAUUACGAAAGUUACGAUAUGGAGUACUUAAAUUUGCUAUGCUAUGCAUUCAAAAAGAACGAUACCUUCGUAUCUCUAACCCGAAUCAGUCUUGCUACGAAUUCUGGAUUGCAUGGAUCCUUUUACCAAUUUUACCAAUUUUAACUCAGUAAAGUCAAGUCAAUGGUAAGUCGAAUUGGAAAAGUCUUGAGACGAAGACGAAACGAGGCGUUGCUCAAAAGGCCCUCGAAAUUCAACAACUGGAUCCCUACUUCGACGCUGAAUGCUUAUAAGAGGCCAGAGUAAAGCUGUAUAUGGACAGUGUGACUCGUGAUCACUGCCGAUGACGUUUGCAGUGUGUUGAAACGUGCCUUAUUUAGAAACUCUAUAUCGUCACGGAUUGUACAGGUGAAAUAUUGUUAUCAUUUUGAAUUAAGUAUAACCCUGAUUUAUAAAUAUUAUUAUGUCGGAGAAUAUUGUAUAAUCUGCAUUGUAUCUUGGAUUCUCUGCGGUGUUGUAGCAUACCUGUUGAUCUGGGAUUAAUAUAAAUUUGUAGAUCUUCAACAGGUGUCUAUACAUCAUGUUUUAACUCUAAAUUGCCCACAGUAGAACAGAUUUUCUUAAAUAAAGAUCUUAAGAUCUGCUUUCAACACCAAACUUUAUAACAUGUUGUUUUCAUUUUUUUUACAGCACUGGGUCGAUACCUCUGCUGGUGGACUAUCAGUCGCCGAGGGUAUCAUCAGCUUAGUAGUCAGUACUUCGGUAUUGCCAUGAUUAAUAACAAGCCUUUCUAAAUUUGCCCGUUUAUAAAUUUUGAAAUUAUAAAGAAACUAAGGUUUCAACUCCGUCAGGCAAAGUUGGCCUUAGAAGGAUUUGGCUAUUAUUUUAGGUCAUUUUUUAUUAUAUAGCUCUUCAACAAUUUCGGAUUUAUACAUCCUUGGCUUUCAAAUAUUCGGCUUUGAGCGUUCCCGAUGAAGGUCAAUCCAGAAAAUCGCUUCGGACGCAUUAAAUUUAAAACGUGUUGUUUUCAUUUUUUUCUAACUAUUCCCUCCACCCCACCCAGCGCCUUUUUUCCACUCCGGAAAACCUAGUUAGAUAUACAAAAAGGUAUCAUCAGCUCAGUAUAAAGCCAAUAUUGUGGGGAAACUGGUGAAGUAUAAAAAAAUAAUAGAAAGGUAACUCUUCGUAUGAUACAUGUAACAAAAUCAAGUGUGUUUACAUCUGUAGCCAUUAUGAUAUUAUUAAAAGGUGUUUCGAAACCACAAACGUACAUUUUUUGGAAAAAACGGUUGAACCAUGUCAGCUGAAAUAUACUUGCAAAUGCAUAUUGUUUUAUUUUCAUUGAUAACGAGAAAAUAGUGUAUAACGACAAACAUAUUUUAUUUAACUAACCACGGCACCAGGAUAAGCAGAAUAAUCAGAAACAUAGUCAAAUAAAUUGUAGUGGAAUAAAGUAUAACAUAAUUAGAGUUUUUGAUUUGAUUGAACAAUUUUUAAUAAUAUAUAUUUGUGAGAUUAAUUUUCCUAUUGACUUAAAUUCAAAAGUUUAACAUCUGCUGCAUAUCAAUCGAUUUUGUUGAUAAAUGUUCCUGAACUUUGCACGUCUAGCUGUAUACAUAUACAUUAAGGCGUCAGUUGUUUACCAAUGUUCAAAUCUCGUAAAUCGAUUAAGCAGAGACAAAACAAAAUAACAAACAAAAACUGAGGGAAUCACAAUAACUCAAAAAAAAAACCAAAAAAAAACAAGACCGGGUACGUCGACAGGGUAAGCGUCUCCUGCUAUGCGUGUAUCACAACUGUACUGAUAUCUAAAGAUCUAAGACCGCGAAAACAAACCUGUCUCUAGUGACUUGAGACACCGACAAAGGAACUUUAUUUGUAUGGGGAUGAUGCACAAGAUGAAUCGAUAGAUUGGGAUUUUCAUCCCUGAGGGUUAAGGUCUGUAAUACAGGUGUAGCAUUAUGAAAUGACCGGUUCAUUUUUAUCUUUGAAUAUAAUAAGAUAGUAUACAGUCAACAGGAAAAUAAAGUGAGUUUCGCACGUGUUCCCAUAGCACUAUUUUGAUCAUUUAUACUCAAAACUCGAAUAGCCUAUUGUUCAAGUCACUCGAUCAUUUAAGAUGUAAAUGAUAACAUUAUAUGCUAACUCUCUUUUCAUUUCAUGUUGUUUAAUUAUUUCUUUUUGUCAGAACGUUUCGGGGUAUUGUGAACUUAUCAAUAUCCUACUUGAAAAGAACGUGUCAAACAGUGAAGAGAUCCAUUGUCAUUGUUUCCAAGGGCGAUGAUAUUUUACCACUAAAUUUCGACUGCAGUGCUACAACAAAGAAUGUCAAGCUCAUGUAAAUUUUGCAAUUGUUUAGUAAAACUGUUGUUACUGGUCCUGACACUGUUAUGUACAUUUCAUCAAAGAUGCCAGGCUUAUAAUUUGGUAAGACGACGCUCAUUUCGUCUGCAUAAGACCAAUCAAUGUCGCUUUACUCAAAACAGAUAAAAGAACAAAUUUAAUAGGAGUUGAAGGAAAUGUUGGAUUGGAAUACAUUUCAAGGUGAUUCUAGUUUUAAUGUUUAACAUUAUGCGGAAAGAAAUAUGUAUCAUAAGUUGUUUUACAAUUAUAUGUGAAUUA